rnacentral:rRNA from 1 species
UACGUAGGGUGCAAGCGUUUGUCCGGAAUUAUUGGGCGUAAAGAGCUCGUAGGCGGUUUGUCGCGUCUGCCGUGAAAGUCCGGGGCUCAACUCCGGAUCUGCGGUGGGUACGGGCAGACUAGAGUGUGGUAGGGGGAGACUGGAAUUCCUGGUGUAGCGGUGAAAUGCGCAGAUAUCAGGAGGAACACCGAUGGCGGAAGGCAGGUCUCUGGGCCACUACUGAC